rnacentral:rRNA from 1 species
UUAAGCGACUAAGCGUACACGGUGGAUGCCCUGGCAGUCAGAGGCGAUGAAGGACGUGCUAAUCUGCGAUAAGCGUCGGUGAGGUGAUAUGAACCGUUAUAACCGGCGAUUUCCGAAUGGGGAAACCCAGUGUGUUUCGACACACUAUCAUUAACUGAAUCCAUAGGUUAAUGAGGCGAACCGGGGGAACUGAAACAUCUAAGUACCCCGAGGAAAAGAAAUCAACCGAGAUUCCCCCAGUAGCGGCGAGCGAACGGGGAGGAGCCCAGAGCCUGAAUCAGUGUGUGUGUUAGUGGAAGCGUCUGGAAAGGCGCGCGAUACAGGGUGACAGCCCCGUACACAAAAAUGCACAUAUUGUGAGCUCGAUGAGUAGGGCGGGACACGUGGUAUCCUGUCUGAAUAUGGGGGGACCAUCCUCCAAGGCUAAAUACUCCUGACUGACCGAUAGUGAACCAGUACCGUGAGGGAAAGGCGAAAAGAACCCCGGCGAGGGGAGUGAAAAAGAACCUGAAACCGUGUACGUACAAGCAGUGGGAGCCUCUUUUAUGGGGUGACUGCGUACCUUUUGUAUAAUGGGUCAGCGACUUAUAUUCUGUAGCAAGGUUAACCGAAUAGGGGAGCCGAAGGGAAACCGAGUCUUAACUGGGCGUUAAGUUGCAGGGUAUAGACCCGAAACCCGGUGAUCUAGCCAUGGGCAGGUUGAAGGUUGGGUAACACUAACUGGAGGACCGAACCGACUAAUGUUGAAAAAUUAGCGGAUGACUUGUGGCUGGGGGUGAAAGGCCAAUCAAACCGGGAGAUAGCUGGUUCUCCCCGAAAGCUAUUUAGGUAGCGCCUCGUGAAUUCAUCUCCGGGGGUAGAGCACUGUUUCGGCAAGGGGGUCAUCCCGACUUACCAACCCGAUGCAAACUGCGAAUACCGGAGAAUGUUAUCACGGGAGACACACGGCGGGUGCUAACGUCCGUCGUGAAGAGGGAAACAACCCAGACCGCCAGCUAAGGUCCCAAAGUCAUGGUUAAGUGGGAAACGAUGUGGGAAGGCCCAGACAGCCAGGAUGUUGGCUUAGAAGCAGCCAUCAUUUAAAGAAAGCGUAAUAGCUCACUGGUCGAGUCGGCCUGCGCGGAAGAUGUAACGGGGCUAAACCAUGCACCGAAGCUGCGGCAGCGACACUAUGUGUUGUUGGGUAGGGGAGCGUUCUGUAAGCCUGUGAAGGUGGCCUGUGAGGGUUGCUGGAGGUAUCAGAAGUGCGAAUGCUGACAUAAGUAACGAUAAAGCGGGUGAAAAGCCCGCUCGCCGGAAGACCAAGGGUUCCUGUCCAACGUUAAUCGGGGCAGGGUGAGUCGACCCCUAAGGCGAGGCCGAAAGGCGUAGUCGAUGGGAAACAGGUUAAUAUUCCUGUACUUGGUGUUACUGCGAAGGGGGGACGGAGAAGGCUAUGUUGGCCGGGCGACGGUUGUCCCGGUUUAAGCGUGUAGGCUGGUUUUCCAGGCAAAUCCGGAAAACCAAGGCUGAGGCGUGAUGACGAGGCACUACGGUGCUGAAGCGACAAAUGCCCUGCUUCCAGGAAAAGCCUCUAAGCAUCAGGUAACAUCAAAUCGUACCCCAAACCGACACAGGUGGUCAGGUAGAGAAUACCAAGGCGCUUGAGAGAACUCGGGUGAAGGAACUAGGCAAAAUGGUGCCGUAACUUCGGGAGAAGGCACGCUGAUAUGUAGGUGAAGCGACUUGCUCGUGGAGCUGAAAUCAGUCGAAGAUACCAGCUGGCUGCAACUGUUUAUUAAAAACACAGCACUGUGCAAACACGAAAGUGGACGUAUACGGUGUGACGCCUGCCCGGUGCCGGAAGGUUAAUUGAUGGGGUUAGCGGUAACGCGAAGCUCUUGAUCGAAGCCCCGGUAAACGGCGGCCGUAACUAUAACGGUCCUAAGGUAGCGAAAUUCCUUGUCGGGUAAGUUCCGACCUGCACGAAUGGCGUAAUGAUGGCCAGGCUGUCUCCACCCGAGACUCAGUGAAAUUGAACUCGCUGUGAAGAUGCAGUGUACCCGCGGCAAGACGGAAAGACCCCGUGAACCUUUACUAUAGCUUGACACUGAACAUUGAGCCUUGAUGUGUAGGAUAGGUGGGAGGCUUUGAAGUGUGGACGCCAGUCUGCAUGGAGCCGACCUUGAAAUACCACCCUUUAAUGUUUGAUGUUCUAACGUUGGCCCGUAAUCCGGGUUGCGGACAGUGUCUGGUGGGUAGUUUGACUGGGGCGGUCUCCUCCUAAAGAGUAACGGAGGAGCACGAAGGUUGGCUAAUCCUGGUCGGACAUCAGGAGGUUAGUGCAAUGGCAUAAGCCAGCUUGACUGCGAGCGUGACGGCGCGAGCAGGUGCGAAAGCAGGUCAUAGUGAUCCGGUGGUUCUGAAUGGAAGGGCCAUCGCUCAACGGAUAAAAGGUACUCCGGGGAUAACAGGCUGAUACCGCCCAAGAGUUCAUAUCGACGGCGGUGUUUGGCACCUCGAUGUCGGCUCAUCACAUCCUGGGGCUGAAGUAGGUCCCAAGGGUAUGGCUGUUCGCCAUUUAAAGUGGUACGCGAGCUGGGUUUAGAACGUCGUGAGACAGUUCGGUCCCUAUCUGCCGUGGGCGCUGGAGA